CUCACCACCCCCUCUCCGAGUCCACUUAGGGAGACUCGGCUUGCCGGGGUCUCAGGGUCAGAGUCCUGGAGGCACUUUGGAGGUCAGGAAAGAAAGCCAGGGAGAGGGUCCCUUCGAAUGGGAACCCAGCACCUCCUCCCCAAGUCCAGCCACAGAUGUCGGCAGCUGGGGGGUUCCUUUGGCUGGUCUGGGGUGACCACUCUCUGCUUCAUUUGGAGCAUUCUCAGGGGCUGUGGUGACGAUUGUGUGGUAGGGCUCUGUCCCGCUCCAAGGCACCCGCUCUCUGGGACAGGUGCCCGCCGGGGUGUUUGGACUCCUGGGGGUGACUUGUCAACCGUCUGCUUGCAGUUGGAUGUCCCAGGCCGACAGUGUUCUGGCUUCUGAGGGGUCAGGCCAGAAUGUGGGGUACGUGGGAGGCCAGCAGAGGGUUCCAUGAGAAGGACAGGACAGGGACACAGACAGUCGGCUUCCAUGUGACGCCUGGAGACAGAAGGUCUGGGUGGCUGGGAACAAUGCGAGCCGGGCGCCCAGGGUUUUUGCGGGGUGAGGAUGGACAUUCUGCCAUUGUGAUUACUACGGUAUGGACUCCUGGGGCCAAGGGGUCAUGGUCACCGUCUCCUCAGCCUCCACCAAGGGCCCAUUGGUCUUCCCCCUGGCGUCCUGCUCCAGGAGCACCUCCCAGAGCACAGCGGCCCUGGGCUGCCUGGUCAAGGACUACUUCCCCGAACCCGUGACCGUGUCUUGGAACUCAGGCGCCCUGACCAGCGGCGUGCACACCUUCCCGGCUGUCCUACAGUCCUCAGGGCUCUACUCCCUCAGCAGCAUGGUGACCGUGCCCUCCAGCAGCUUGGGCACCCAGACCUACACCUGCAACGUCGUUCAUGAGCCCAGCAACACCAAGGUGGACAAGAGAGUUGAGUUCACAAGUGGUCCCAACUGCCCACGGUGCCCAGCACCUGAAUUCCUGGGGGGACCGUCAGUCUUCCUCUACCCCCCAAAACCCAAGGACACCCUCAUGAUCUCCCGGACCCCUGAGGUCACAUGCGUGGUGGUGGACGUGAGCCAGGAUGAACCUGAUGUCAAGUUCAACUGGUACGUGGACGGCGUGGAGGUGCACAAUGCCCAGACGAAGCCGCAGGAGAAGCAGUACAACAGCACGUACCGCGUGGUCAGCGUCCUCACAGUCCUGCACCAGGACUGGCUGAACGGCAAGGAGUACACGUGCAAGGUCUCCAACAAAGCCCUCCCGGCCCCCGUCGAGAAAACCGUCUCCAAAGCCAAAGGGCAGCCCCGAGAGCCGCAGGUGUACACCCUGCCCCCGUCCCGGGAGGAGCUGACCAAGAACCAGGUCAGCCUGACCUGCCUGGUCACAGGCUUCUACCCCACCGACAUUGCCGUGGAGUGGGAGAGCAACGGGCAGCCGGAGAACAACUACAAGACCACCCCACCCGUGCAGGACUCCGACGGCUCCUUCUUCCUCUACAGCAAGCUCACCGUGGACAAGAGCAGGUGGCAGCCUGGGAACACCUUCACAUGCUCCGUGAUGCAUGAGGCUCUGCACAACCACUACACCCAGAAGAGCCUCUCCCUGUCUCCGGGUAAAUGAGGGCGACACCCGGCAAGCCCCCGCCCCCCGGGCUCUCGGGAUGGCGCGAGGAUGCUUGGCCCGCACCCGUGUACGUACUUCCCAGGCGCCCGGCAUGGAAAUAAAGCACCCAGCGCUGCCCUGGGCCCCUGCGAGA